rnacentral:rRNA from 1 species
UACGUAGGGUGCAAGCGUUGUCCGGAAUUAUUGGGCGUAAAGAGCUCGUAGGCGGCUUGGUCGCGUCGGCUGUGAAAACCUGGGGCUCAACCCCGGGCCCUGCAGCCGAUACGGGCGAGCUAGAAUUCGGAUAGGGGAGACUGGAAUUCCUGGUGUAGCGGUGAAAUGACGCAGAUAUCAGGAGGAACACCGGUGGCGAAGGCGGGUCUCUGGGCCGAAAUUGACGCUGGAGGAGCGAAAGCGUGGGGAGCGAACAGG